ACGGGAGGCAGCAGUGGGGAAUAUUGCACAAUGGGGGAAACCCUGAUGCAGCGAUGCCGCGUGGAGGAAGAAGGUUUUCGGAUUGUAAACUCCUGUCUUAAAGGACGAUAAUGACGGUACUUUAGGAGGAAGCUCCGGCUAACUACGUGCCAGCAGCCGCGGUAAUACGUAGGGAGCGAGCGUUGUCCGGAAUUACUGGGUGUAAAGGGAGCGUAGGCGGGACUGCAAGUCAGAUGUGAAAUGCCGGGGCUUAACCCCGGAGCUGCAUUUGAAACUGUGGUUCUUGAGUGAAGUAGAGGCAAGCGGAAUUCCUGGUGUAGCGGUGAAAUGCGUAGAUAUCAGGAGGAACACCGGUGGCGAAGGCGGCUUACUGGGCUUUUACUGACGCUGAGGCUCGAAAGCGUGGGGAGCAAACAGGAUUAGAUACCCUGGUA
rnacentral:rRNA from 1 species